GUUGCUCCUCAGUCUUUUGACUAAAACCAAGUGUAAUAUCUUCUCUCAUCAGCUUAAUGUCUAAUAUGUCAUCUACCCAAGGACAGUAUAUUAAAUAGAUUUUUGGAGCUUGAAGUUGGAAUGAGGGGCUUGCUCUGUCCAGUCCACGAAUUGACCUGAAAUAGCAGUACUUCCAAGAAUGUUACAUGUCCC
rnacentral:snRNA from 1 species